UUUGAAGCGUCUAUGAUAAACAGAGAGCAAAUUAGAAUCCAAGGAAGUUGACAUGUCAUCACUUCAUUUUUUUGCGCCUGCGCAUAAAUCUGAGAAGCGUGAGUUUGUCAUCAUUGUUUAUCUAGACAUAGGAUAGGUUGUGUGAAAAUAUUACUGAUGUUUAACGUUAAAAAUGGACCAAAAGAUUAAUGCUAAACAACAUUUGACAUGUUUGAACGAAAAUAAAUAGAUUAUUUACUAGGUUUUUUUAGCUUUUCGGCGUGAUUUUACACUCCCCCCACCACGUUUUGAGGGAGCAUAAUGAACGCUAAGUACUUGGUGUUAUUUGGACAUAAAUUAUGAACUUUGUCAAAAGAAACCACAUUUGUUCCGGACCUGGGAUGCCUUCCGGACCUGGGAUGCCUGCCUUCUGAUGGAGAUAAUCAAAGGACCUGAGCCCUAGGACCAUGCCUCAGGACUACCUGGUAUGAUGACUCCUUGCUGUCCCCAGUCCACCUGGCCGUGCUGCUGCUCCAGUUUCAACUGUUCUGCCUGCGGCUAUGGAACCCUGACCUGUUCACCGGACGUGCGUGUUGCACCCUCGACAACUACUAUGAUUAUUAUUAUUUGACCAUGCUGGUCAUUUAUGAAAAUUUUAACAUCUUGACCAUGUUCUGUUAUAAUAUCCACCCUGCACAGCCAGAAGAGGACUGGCCACCCCUCAUAGCCUGGUUCCUCUCUAGGUUUCUUCCUAGGUUUUUGGCCUUUCUAGGGAGUUUUUUCUAGGGAGUUUUUCCUAGCCACCGUGCUUCUUUCACAUGCAUUGCUUGCUGUUUGGGGUUUUAGGCUGGGUUUCUGUACAGCACUUUGAGAUAUCAGCUGAUGUACGAAGGGCUAUAUGAAUAAAUUUGAUUUGAUUUGAUUUAGCCUAAACCUUUAGCUGUUACAUUGAACUGAGUGAAUGGAAUAUGAAUGAAAUUCCUCCAAUAUGCAGUAAUAAGGCCAUGCUCAUGAAAAAAUUGUAUUGUCCUGCCUCAUCUUAAACGGCACUGACCGCCACUGCCUAACAUUGUGUGAGCCCACUGUGUGGUUAUAGCUAUAACCGAAUUGUGCGGACUCAGCUUUCGAACAUUUCUGAGUUAUGAAAGUGUUUGGUGUUGGUGUGAAUUACUCUGUUAUCAUAAGAGUUUGAAGGUCUCCACUUGAAAGCUGACUCCCUACAGCCCUUGACACACACCAUGGGGAGUCUCGUUCUCUCUCAUUCUUUUAGUUUUUCAGAUUCACUAGCAGGCUUCUUAGUCAUCAUUUGUUACAUUCUGGCUAAAUCAUGAACACAUUGGUGUGUUGCAUGUCACCACAUAACACAGAGCAUUCUCAUGGAUUCAACAGCAGUGCAAGAGCAAAACAACUCUGUAAACAGAAGCCAGUUCUUUUUGUGGUUGCAAUUAUUUUGCAGCUCUUUCUUCCCAAUCCAAUAUCAUUCAAAUUCGAUUUUGGAGCUAUGCUGCUUUGUAGUGUGCCCAAAUGUUUCUUAAUUUGUUGUGCUUUUACAGAUCUAAUAACCAAUGACAUUCCAUUAUUGCACUGCAUUUUAUUGGAGGUUGUGGGGUGCUGGGAAUGGAAGGCUGGUUAGAGAGCAGGCAUGUGAUCUGGGAAUAGAGAGGUGGUUAGGGAACAGGCAUGUGAUGUUUCAACUUUAUCGAAAGCCAGAUUGGGGCGUUAAGAAUUAUAUAAAAUGUUUUAUGUUUUAGGGAAGACCCAGAUGCAGACAGUGUCGAAGUAACAAAUGUUUAUUAAUAGAACAGCAAAACGACAGGUCAAGGGCAGGCAGAGGUCAAUAAUCUAAGGUGGUGUGACAAGGUGCAGAACGGCAGGAAGGCUCAGGAAAAACAGUCAAAACCGGGAAAACUAGAAAACAGUAACUAGUAACAGACAGGAGCAAGGGGGAAAACGCUGGUAGACUUGACGAACAAAACGAACCGGCAACAGACAAACAGAGAACACAGGUAUAAAUACACUGGGGAUAAUGGGGAAGAUGGGCGACACCUGGAGGGGCGUGAAAACAAGCACAAAGAACAGUGAAACAGAUCAGGGUGUGACAAUUUUUGUUUCAAACACUGGACACACAGCUUAGCCUUAUUCGAUCAUCCCGAUCUUGCGAUUCUGUUUUGUACACGGAUUCAAGAAAUGAGGGUACUGCAGUAUGGAUGGUGGAUCAGGCUACACAAUCAAACAUUGCUAUGGUGUGUUUCUGUCAUAUUGUCUGCACACACUACUGCCUGCACACACUACUGCCUGCACACAAAUACACACUCCCAUGUGCACACACACUGCUGCCUGCACACUCAGACUUCUUAUUCAGAACAGCGGAAGCAGCAUCCACCUGUGAGGGCAGUCUGCAUGGUAGUGUAAGAGGUAUUUUUCAGUACCCCAAACUAUUCUGUCAUUUCAUUUGACCGUGAGAAAAAUACAUACUGUGUAAUUACUGCAAUGUGGCUUCCAUUGCGUUGAGCACUCAGGUCUUACAUAACAGAGUCAGAAACUGCCAGAUCACCACUUAGAGAUAUUGAAAUCCUUAACAGUUUAACAGCUGUGGUUUUGCACAUUGUUUGUGGCUUUUGUACAUUGAUGUUGAUGUACUUUCUUGACUUGAUUGAGUCAUCUGUCUUUUUGUGUGUGUACAGUUUGCUCUGUCUGAAAGUUGGAUGCCUUUAUCAUAUCAUAUGUCUUUAUCAAGUUCCUUGCAGGCAUUCAUCUACAUAUUUCCUAUAGCAGAGAUUUGGAAUUAAUAAUUUACAAAACUAAUACAGUGAGCUCCAAAAGUAUUGGACACCUUUUUUGUUGAUUUGGCCCUGCAUUCAAGCACUUUGGAUUUAAAAUGAUAUAUUGACUAUGAUGUUAAAGUGCAGACGUAUUAUUAUUCUGAUUAUUCUGAUUACUUUUAUUGAUGUUUAUACCACUAUUAACAUUAUCCUCAUUAUUGGUAUUAUCAUGAUUGACACUAUGGUUAGUAUUAUUUGUCUUAUUAUUAUUAUCAUAAAUAUCAAUACUUUUGUUUGAACUUAUGUUUAUUAUCGGUAUGAGGUAUGACCAGAAAAAUGAACUACAUUGAAUCUUUUGUUAUAAUAUAAAAUAAUAUUUGUUUGCUUAAAUGCUGUAUUCCUACUGACUGCUACUGGUUAAAGGUAAUUGUAUUUUUAUUUUAUUUAUUUUAAUUUCACCUUUAUUUAACCAGGUAGGCCAGUUGAGAACAAGUUCUCAUUUACAACUGCGACCUGGCCAAGAUAAAGUAAAGCAGUGCGACAAAAACAGCAACACAGAGUUACACAUAAACAAACGUACAGUCAAUAACACAAUAGAAAGAUCUAUGUACAGUGUGUGCAAAUGUAGAAGAGUAGGGAAGUAAGGCAAUAAAUAAGCCAGAGAGGCAAAACAAUUACAACUUAGCAUUAACACUGGAGUGAUAGAUGUGCAGAUGAUGAUGUGCAAGUAGAGAUACUGGGGUGCAAAAGAGCAAGAGGAUAAAUAACAAUAUGGGAAUGAGGUAGUUGGAUGUGCAAUUUACAGAUUGGCUGUGUACAGGUACAGUGAUCAGUAAGCAGCUCUGACAGCUGAUGCUUAACCUCUUAUGGCUAGGGGGCAGUAUUUUCACGGCUGGAU
rnacentral:lncRNA from 1 species